rnacentral:rRNA from 1 species
GAUGAACGCUAGCGGCAGGCCUAAUACAUGCAAGUCGAGGGGUAUGGGUUGCUUGCAACCCAGAGGCCGGCGCACGGGUGCGUAACGCGUAUGCAAUCUACCUUAAUCAGGGGGAUAGCCCGGAGAAAUCCGGAUUAACACCGCAUAACAUUGAGUUGUGGCAUCACAGUUCAAUCAAAUAUUUAUAGGAUUAAGAUGAGCAUGCGUGACAUUAGUUAGUUGGUGAGGUAACGGCUCACCAAGACCACGAUGUCUAGGGGAUCUGAGAGGAUGACCCCCCACACUGGUACUGAGACACGGACCAGGCUCCUACGGGAGGCAGCAGUAAGGAAUAUUGGUCAAUGGGCGCAAGCCUGAACCAGCCAUGCCGCGUGCAGGAAGACGGCCCUAUGGGUUGUAAACUGCUUUUGUACCGGAAUAAACCUUCUCUUGCGAGAGAAGCUGAACGUACGGUAAGAAUAAGGAUCGGCUAACUCCGUG